rnacentral:rRNA from 1 species
GACGAACGCUGGCGGCGUGCUUAACACAUGCAAGUCGAACGGAAAGGCCCUGCUUUUGUGGGGUGCUCGAGUGGCGAACGGGUGAGUAACACGUGAGUAACCUGCCCUUGACUUUGGGAUAACUUCAGGAAACUGGGGCUGAUACCGGAUAAGAGCUCCUGCUGCAUGGUGGGGGUUGGAAAGUUUCGGCGGUUGGGGAUGGACUCGCGGCUUAUCAGCUUGUUGGUGGGGUAGUGGCUUACCAAGGCUUUGACGGGUAGCCGGCCUGAGAGGGUGACCGGCCACAUUGGGACUGAGAUACGGCCCAGACUCCUACGGGAGGCAGCAGUGGGGAAUAUUGCACAAUGGGCGGAAGCCUGAUGCAGCAACGCCGCGUGCGGGAUGACGGCCUUCGGGUUGUAAACCGCUUUCGCCUGUGACGAAGCGUGAGUGACGGUAAUGGGUAAAGAAGCACCGGCUAACUACGUG